ensembl:snoRNA SNORD15 Small nucleolar RNA SNORD15
CUUCUGUGAGGAGGCGAUGACGAGGCUGACCGGGGCGUGCUCUCUCCCCCGGGGUUGGCGUUUUGCGACCCCGGGAAAGAACCUUCCCGAAGAUGACCUCGAGGCAUUUGUCUGAGAAGG